GACGAACGCUGGCGGCGUGCUUAACACAUGCAAGUCGAACGAAGUGGCGAACGGGUGAGUAAUACGUGGGUAAACUGCCCUCCUCUUUGGGAUAAGCCUUGGAAACGGGGUCUAAUACCGAAUAAAGGGGGAUGGGCUCGCGGCCUGUCAGCUUGUUGGUGGUGUGAUGGCCUACCAAGGCGGUGACGUGUAGCCGGCGUGAGAGGGUGACCGGCCACAUUGGGACUGAGAUACGGGCCAGACUCCUACGGGAGGCAGCAGUGGGGGAUAUUGGACAAUGGGCGAAAGCCUGAUGCAGCGACGCCGCGUGGGUGAUGAAGGCUUUCGGGUUGUAAACCUCUAUCGCUAUCGAAGGGGUAGGUGGAGAAGAAGCGCCGGCUAACUACGUGCCAGCAGCCGCGUAUAC
rnacentral:rRNA from 1 species